rnacentral:rRNA from 1 species
UACGUAGGGACCGAGCGUUGUCCGGAAUCAUUGGGCGUAAAGAGCGCGCAGGCGGUCGUUCAAGUCGCGUGUGAAAGCCCCCGGCUCAACUGGGGAGGGUCACGCGAUACUGAUCGACUCGAAGGCAGGAGAGGGAAGUGGAAUUCCCGGUGUAGUGGUGAAAUGCGUAGAUAUCGGGAGGAACACCAGUGGCGAAGGCGACUUCCUGGCCUGUUCUUGACGCUGAGGCGCGAAAGCUAGGGGAGCAAACAGG